rnacentral:lncRNA from 1 species
AUGGUCUUGUAGGGCUAGGUCUAAACCAGAAUUUAUAGGAAGAUUAACAUAUUCCCUAGGUGUAGCUAAAAGUGCAUUAUCUUUUUGAUUAAAAGAUAGGACCUCAGCUAUAGAAAAGGGUUGGUUUUGACCUAUUGCAAUCAACUCCGGACACAGAUCAUAAUUAGGGGCAGAACGUGUUGACUCCCAUGGUCUAUGGCUGGUCUCCGAAGGUGCAAAGAAUUUAAUAAUAGGUAUGGAAUUUGAGUUAUCCAUAAAGAUAAAAAUAAAAAGAUAAAAGAAUAAAAGUAUAAAAGUAUAAUACAAGAUAAUAGCAAGAUUCAAAGUUAUCUCAGCAAACCGUCUUUCUCCCCGGCAACGGCGCC